CGCCAUACCUCAACUCGGCCCAGUAAAAAAGUGAAAUCUAGGUAUUCAGCCGCCCAGCCCACGCAGCCCGCACAGCACAGCCGCCGCAACACAGCCGCUGCAGCACAAGACGUCCGCUCGCGGCUCGCCCGGCCGGCCGACCGCCUGUCCGUCCGCGGCCGCCUGCCCACCUCCGUCUCUGGCUUCUGCUUCCUGCGGGCUGCGGUCUUGCCUGGCUGGUGGCUGCCUCUGCCUUCCUGCUGUGCGCGCGUGCUUGUCCGGUUGACCCGUUGGGCGUUGGCUGGCCGGCGGCCGCACGGCCGUGCUCCACCUCCACUGCUCCACGGCUGCUUGCCUGCUUUGCUUUGCUCCGCCUGCUUCGGAUGUGCAGCCCGUGCUCCACUGCUCCGCCUGCUUUCUUUUGCUGCUUUCAAAUUCGGCUGCUUGGAAAGCCUGCUGCCCUGCAGUUGCAAAGCCUGCUGUCAAAGUCUCCUAGACAAAACUAAAAUAAUUGCUUAUUUAGCAUAUAAUCUACAAGG
rnacentral:misc_RNA from 1 species